GGGUCGUUAGCUCAGGUGGUAGAGCAAUUGCCUUUUAAGCAAAUGGUCGCUGGUUCGAGUCCAGCACGACCCA
rnacentral:tRNA from 1 species